AUUGAACGCUGGCGGCAGGCCUAACACAUGCAAGUCGAACGAGUGGCGGACGGGUGAAUAAUGUCUGGGAAACUGCCCGAUGGAGGGGGAUAACUACUGGCAACGGUAGAUAAUACCGCAUACCCUCGGAUGUCACAAGAUGGGAUUAGCAUGUAGGUGGGGUAACGGCUCACCUAGGCGGCGAGCCCUAGAUGGUCUGAGAGGAUGACGAGCCACACUGGAACGGAGACACGGUCCAGACUCCUACGGUAGGCAGCAUGGGGGAAUAUUGCACAAUGGGCGCAAGCAUGAUGCAGCCAUGCCGCGUGUAUGAAGAAGGCCUUCGGGUUGUAAAGUACGUUCAGCGAGGAGGCGUUACUCGCAGAAGAAGCACCGGCUAACUCCGUGCCAGCAGCCGCGGUAAUAC
rnacentral:rRNA from 1 species